rnacentral:rRNA from 1 species
UAGGGAAUCUUCGGCAAUGGACGGAAAGUCUGACCGAGCAACGCCGCGUGAGUGAAGAAGGUUUUCGGAUCGUAAAACUCUGUUGGUAGAGAAGAACGUUGGUGAGAGUGGAGAGCUCAUCAAGUGACGGUAACUACCCAGAAAGGGACGGCUAACUACGUGCCAC